ACCUGGGUGGCUCAGUGGGUUAAGCGUCUGACUUUGGCUCAGGUCACGAUCUCACGGUGCGUGGGUUCGAGCCCCACGUCGGGCU
rfam:Felis catus isolate Cinnamon breed Abyssinian chromosome E1, whole genome shotgun sequence.